GCCCGCGUGGUGAAAUGGUAGACACAGGAGACUUAAAAUCUCUCGGCUGAAAGGCUGUGCCGGUUCAAGUCCGGCCGCGGGCACCA
rnacentral:tRNA from 1 species